UUCUUAUUAGCUCAAUGGUAGAGCAUAAUACUUCUAAUAUUAUGAUUUUGGUUCGACUCCAGAAUAAGAUU
rfam:Stachybotrys chartarum IBT 40288 unplaced genomic scaffold C40866, whole genome shotgun sequence.